rnacentral:rRNA from 1 species
GGUAGCGCCUCGUGAAUUCAUCUCCGGGGGUAGAGCACUGUUUCGGCUAGGGGGCCAUCCCGGCUUACCAACCCGAUGCAAACUGCGAAUACCGGAGAAUGUUAUCACGGGAGACACACGGCGGGUGCUAACGUCCGUCGUGAAGAGGGAAACAACCCAGACCGCCAGCUAAGGUCCCAAAGUCAUGGUUAAGUGGGAAACGAUGUGGGAAGGCCCAGACAGCCAGGAUGUUGGCUUAGAAGCAGCCAUCAUUUAAAGAAAGCGUAAUAGCUCACUGGUCGAGUCGGCCUGCGCGGAAGAUGUAACGGGGCUAAACCAUGCACCGAAGCUGCGGCAGCGACACUGUGUGUUGUUGGGUAGGGGAGCGUUCUGUAAGCCUGUGAAGGUGUGUCGUGAGGCAUGCUGGAGGUAUCAGAAGUGCGAAUGCUGACAUAAGUAACGAUAAAGCGGGUGAAAAGCCCGCUCGCCGGAAGACCAAGGGUUCCUGUCCAACGUUAAUCGGGGCAGGGUGAGUCGACCCCUAAGGCGAGGCCGAAAGGCGUAGUCGAUGGGAAACGGGUUAAUAUUCCCGUACUUGGUGUUACUGCGAAGGGGGGACGGAGAAGGCUAUGUUGGCCGGGCGACGGUUGUCCCGGUUUAAGCGUGUAGGUGUGUGUUCCAGGUAAAUCCGGUUCACUUUAACACUGAGGCGUGACGACGAGGCACUACGGUGCUGAAGCAACAAAUGCCCUGCUUCCAGGAAAAGCCUCUAAGCAUCAGGUAACAUCAAAUCGUACCCCAAACCGACACAGGUGGUCAGGUAGAGAAUACCAAGGCGCUUGAGAGAACUCGGGUGAAGGAACUAGGCAAAAUGGUGCCGUAACUUCGGGAGAAGGCACGCUGACACGUAGGUGAAGUGAUUUACUCAUGGAGCUGAAGUCAGUCGAAGAUACCAGCUGGCUGCAACUGUUUAUUAAAAACACAGCACUGUGCAAACACGAAAGUGGACGUAUACGGUGUGACGCCUGCCCGGUGCCGGAAGGUUAAUUGAUGGGGUCAGCGCAAGCGAAGCUCCUGAUCGAAGCCCCGGUAAACGGCGGCCGUAACUAUAACGGUCCUAAGGUAGCGAAAUUCCUUGUCGGGUAAGUUCCGACCUGCACGAAUGGCGUAAUGAUGGCCAGGCUGUCUCCACCCGAGACUCAGUGAAAUUGAACUCGCUGUGAAGAUGCAGUGUACCCGCGGCAAGACGGAAAGACCCCGUGAACCUUUACUAUAGCUUGACACUGAACAUUGAGCCUUGAUGUGUAGGAUAGGUGGGAGGCUUUGAAGUGUGGACGCCAGUCUGCAUGGAGCCGACCUUGAAAUACCACCCUUUAAUGUUUGAUGUUCUAACGUGGACCCGUUACCCGGGUUGCGGACAGUGUCUGGUGGGUAGUUUGACUGGGGCGGUCUCCUCC